GACGAACGCUGGCGGCGUGCUUAGCACAUGCAAGUCGAACGGAAAGGCCCUGCUUUUGUGGGGUGCUCGAGUGGCGAACGGGUGAGUAACACGUGAGUAACCUGCCCUUGACUUUGGGAUAACCUCAGGAAACUGGGGCUAAUACCGGAUAGGAGCUCCUGCUGCAUGGUGGGGGUUGGAAAGUUUCGGCGGUUGGGGAUGGACUCGCGGCUUAUCAGCUUGUUGGUGGGGUAGUGGCUUACCAAGGCUUUGACGGGUAGCCGGCCUGAGAGGGUGACCGGCCACAUUGGGACUGAGAUACGGCCCAGACUCCUACGGGAGGCAGCAGUGGGGAAUAUUGCACAAUGGGCGGAAGCCUGAUGCAGCAACGCCGCGUGCGGGAUGACGGCCUUCGGGUUGUAAACCGCUUUCGCCUGUGACGAAGCGUGAGUGACGGUAAUGGGUAAAGAAGCACCGGCUAACUACGUG
rnacentral:rRNA from 1 species